rnacentral:rRNA from 1 species
UUGAACGCUGGCGGAAUGCUUUACACAUGCAAGUCGAGCGGCAGCGCGGGGCAACCUGGCGGCGAGCGGCGAACGGGUGAGUAACAUAUCGGAACGUACCCUAUCGUGGGGGAUAACACAUCGAAAGAUGUGCUAAUACCGCAUACGCCCUGAGGGGGAAAGUGGGGGAUCGCAAGACCUCACGUUAUUCGAGCGGCCGACGUCUGGUUAGCUAGUUGGUGAGGUAAUGGCUCACCAAGGCGACGAUCAGUAGCGGGUCUGAGAGGAUGAUCCGCCACACUGGAACUGAGACACGGUCCAGACUCCUACGGGAGGCAGCAGUGGGGAAUUUUGGACAAUGGGGGCAACCCUGAUCCAGCCAUUCCGCGUGAGUGAAGAAGGCCUUCGGGUUGUAAAGCUCUUUCAGCUGGAACGAAACGGUACGCUCUAACAUAGCGUGCUAAUGACGGUACCAGCAGAAGAAGCACCGGCUAACUACGU